CUCUUUCCUCGGACGCAGGAUAGCCACGCCGUUCUCUCAAAAAAAAACCUCCGUAAAGAAUUUCGCUUCUUCUACGUUUUUAUACACCCGGCGAGGUUUAUUUUUUGCUCUUCUCCUCCGGUGCGUCCGUUGUCGACCGACGCUGCUUGCGACUCAAUAUUUUUUGGUUUUUCUAGGUUCACUCUUCGCCCUUCUUCUCCUUCCUCCACGGCAUAGCACAUGGAGCAACCAGCGGCUGGAAAGACUAAGCAUAAGGAAGGAAAGUUGAGUAAUCAACGGGCAAGUAACAGGGAAAGUGAAAUUGACUUUAGAGCUCUUCCAUAGGUGGUGCAGACACUCUCUAUGGUCCGCAGUUGGAAAAACAAAAUGAUUGCUUCUUUGAGGCCUUGCACCAUUUAAUAUAAUUGCUAAGUUUCAUAAUAGAGCACCCAAGUAUUUUGGCUUCAAAUGGCUAACAUCAAGUCCAAUGAAGUCUCUACAACCUUUCAAGAAAACCGAUAAAUUUUAUAGCUUACAUAAAACCUCUCAAAGGUUGAAUCGUUUUCACCCCAUGUAUAUGUAAUAUGUGAUCCUACAUUUUUAUUAAUUUGUUAUGCUUAUUGUGCUGGUACCCAUAUGUAGUUAUCAUCAACUGAAUAAAAAAUUCUCUCUCGAGCUUUUUAUCUU